GCUUUACACAUGCAAGUCGAACGGUAACAGGGUGCUUGCACCGCUGACGAGUGGCGAACGGGUGAGUAAUGCGUCGGAACGUGCCGAGUAGUGGGGGAUAACGCAGCGAAAGUUGUGCUAAUACCGCAUACGUACUGAGGUAGAAAGUGGGGGACCUUCGGGCCUCACGCUAUUCGAGCGGCCGACGUCUGAUUAGCUAGUAGGUGAGGUAAAGGCUCACCUAGGCGACGAUCAGUAGCGGGUCUGAGAGGAUGAUCCGCCACACUGGGACUGAGACACGGCCCAGACUCCUACGGGAGGCAGCAGUGGGGAAUUUUGGACAAUGGGCGAAAGCCUGAUCCAGCCAUGCCGCGUGUCUGAAGAAGGCCUUCGGGUUGUAAAGGACUUUUGUCAGGGAGGAAAUCCCUAGUGCUAAUAACACUGGGGGAUGACAGUACCUGAAGAAUAAGCACCGGCUAACUACGUGCCAGCAGCCGCGGUAAUACGUAGGGUGCGAGCGUUAAUCGGAAUUACUGGGCGUAAAGCGUGCGCAGGCGGUUUGAUAAGCCAGAUGUGAAAUCCCCGAGCUCAACUUGGGAACUG
rnacentral:rRNA from 1 species